rnacentral:rRNA from 1 species
GAUGAACGCUAGCUACAGGCUUAACACAUGCAAGUCGAGGGGAAACGACAUCGAAAGCUUGCUUUUGAUGGGCGUCGACCGGCGCACGGGUGAGUAACGCGUAUCCAACCUGCCCAUCACUUGGGGAUAACCUUGCGAAAGUAAGACUAAUACCCAAUGAUAUCUCUAGAAGACAUCUGAAAGAGAUUAAAGAUUUAUCGGUGAUGGAUGGGGAUGCGUCUGAUUAGCUUGUUGGCGGGGUAACGGCCCACCAAGGCAACGAUCAGUAGGGGUUCUGAGAGGAAGGUACCCCACAUUGGAACUGAGACACGGUCCACACUCCUACGGGAGGCAGCAGUGAGGAAUAUUGGUCAAUGGGCGAGAGCCUGAACCAGCCAAGUAGCGUGCAGGAAGACGGCCCUAUGGGUUGUAAACUGCUUUUAUAAGGGAAUAAAGUGAGAGUCGUGACUCUUUUUGUAUGUACCUUAUGAAUAAGGACCGGCUAAUUCCGUG